GACGUAGCGCAGUGGUAGUGUGACUGCCUGCGAAGCAGAUGGGUUCGGAUUCGAUUCUCGUCAGGUCA